GGAGUUGUGGCUCAGUUGUAGAGUGCUUUCCUCUCAUGUGUGAAGCACUGGGUUCGAUUCUCAGCACCA
rnacentral:tRNA from 1 species